GAUGAGGAAGCAUUACAGCAAGCUGCGCACUGAGCCUGGACCAUGCAGCCUCUCCAGUGUGCUCACCUGCUCCUCCUGCUUGCCCUGCUUGCCUUCUGCUUGCCCUCAGGCUGGGCGGAGGACAACAGCACCAUGACAAAUGGGGCACCAGACCAGAGCCCGCCCUGCGGCAGCCCGGCCCUCCUGUCCCUCGCACUGGGGCUGGCUGCGUUCCUCCUGCGGCUCUCCUGUCCCCGUGUUCCCGCAGCGCUUCCCUAUGGCCGCAGCCUCCAGGAGGACCAACUCCAAGCACAGCCUCCGCAGUUGUGCUGUGAAGCUCUGAGAAAUAAAGUACGAGGCU
rnacentral:lncRNA from 1 species